rnacentral:rRNA from 1 species
AUGGCCCGCACCCUCGCCGUCGCCGUCGUGUUGGCGCUCAGCCUCCUCGUCUUCCUCAGCGCCUGCCCGUGCGCCGACGCGCGGCCGAUGUCCGCGAGGCCGGUGAGCUCCGGGACGUCCGCGCUUGCACUGCCACCGUCGGCGUCCGAGGGCGUGGCGCACUGGCGUGCCGCCGACGCGGCCGCCAGGGCGGGGAAGUGGCUGCCGUACUACCAGUACCCGGGCGGCGCCGGCGUGCACUACCACCCAGGGUACCCGAAGUACCCGGGGUACCCGGCGGAGGGAAAGCCGAUGAUGUGGGGGUCGGGCACGCCACCGGAGCUGGGCGCCUACGCGGCGAGCGGCAGGCAGCUUGGGAAGUCGCCGUACGGCGAUGAGACCCGGCGGGAGCAGGUCGCCAUGUGGGCUUCGCUGCUCAACCCGUCCAAGGGGCCGACCACGCCUUCCAGCUGGCUGCCGGCGAAUGGCGGCGACGAGCCGGCGGAUCAGGCCCGCGACGAGCCUAAGGCGUACGACGCCGCUGCCGAAGGGACGGAGAUGGACGUGCCCCCGGGCGGCGGCGGCGUUCAGACCGGCCAGCAGCCCAAGUGGGGGUUCUACCCCGGGAACAAGAAUGGCAAGUGA